UACUGAGUGGCGGACGGGUGAGUAACGCGUGGGCAACCUGGCCUGUACAGGGGAUAACACUUAGAAAUAGGUGCUAAUACCGCAUAACGGGGGAAGCCGCAUGGCUUUUCCCUGAAAACUCCGGUGGUACAGGAUGGGCCCGCGUCUGAUUAGCCAGUUGGCAGGGUAACGGCCUACCAAAGCGACGAUCAGUAGCCGGCCUGAGAGGGCGGACGGCCACACUGGGACUGAGACACGGCCCAGACUCCUACGGGAGGCAGCAG
rnacentral:rRNA from 1 species